UGCAGCCGUGUCAAAUUCAGUACCGCCUCAUCGCUGGUGGCCACUGGCCAAAAUGGCUGCUACAGGAAUCUGGUGGCACAUGGGCCCCUCUUUCUUUUGUGGAAGUCGGGGAUAAAAGUUUGGUACCAACAAUA